ACAAAAUAUAGAAUAGAUUUAACAUUCAAUGAAUUUUUUUGUUCCAGGGACAAGGAAUUCUUUACCAUUUUACUGUCAUUUUCAACAUUACCGAUUCAAUUCAAAAGAAGAUUACAAGCACUGAAGAAUCGAUAACGUCAGAAACGAAUAUGGCGAUUUACAAAUCGUAUAUAGGGUGGUAAAUCUAUCUUAUAUUGUAUACGAUUCUAUGGUUACAAAUGUUCUUUAAGGUUAUUAUUUUGACGUAUAUAUUUCAUCCUAAACAAUAAUUUCAGUUAUCUGAAUAUUUUUUUUAAUAAUGAGUCUUGUGGCAUAUGAAAGUAGUGAUGAAAGUUCAGAUGAUGAAAGAAAUAAUUGUAAUGUAGAAAA